GCCACUCAAGCCGCUUUGUAGCCUGAACUUUCCAGACAGGAGGUGUCUCUGGACUUAUGAACACAAGAAUGUAAACCUGGAGAGAAGCCCCUCCAAGACAAUGAUUUAUGGGCAGCUGGAAUUUGCAUGCAUUGCUCCGAAUCUGUGGAAGAAUCUAUGUGGUUGUUCAUGGCCUUCAGAAACAUGGAUGCUGCAAAGCAGAGCUAUGGAGAAUAUGGAAAGCAGGCUCAAAAAGCAUCUGCAAACCUGUGCCAAUAUUACUGCCUCUGUCAUCAAGCAAUGGAAAGGUUUUUCUAGUUAAAUUCAAGUAAUUAAAUCUCCCUGCUCUCAUUAAAAAAAAUACAACUGUCUGCUGCUGGUCUGAAGAAUUGCACAGAGUGAACGUAAAUUUUAAUUUCAUGGUGCAAGUGUUAAAUUAUUGCCAUCUAAGCUGUCUGCCAGUGUUACAUGAAAUCCCACCACAUUUUAAUAAUUCUCCCUUUGUUUUGGAUGGAAAUACCACGUGUUGUGAUUUGGAAGUUUUUAUGUGCAAUUAGAGCCCUGAGAACUACAACAUAAUCACAUUCAAUUCACCUAAUUGGACAGCGAGGAAACUGUCAUUUCUGAAAUGGUUUGUGUCUUUUGGAAUGUCUGUGUGUAUACACAUGUGUAUAAAAUGAAACAUUUUCUCACCCAUCCUGUGUUAAAAUGUAAUAGAAACUCCUGCUAACUGAAGUUGAAGACAUAGCUGGGUGUUCUUUAGUAACCUCAAAACAUAUACGUGUGCGUGUAAAUAAAAAACUGUCCUUCUAAACACAAGGAUCCUUCCCUCGUACUUACUUUGCAACAUCUUAGUAAGGAUUUGCCAUCAAUUCCCUCUCUUUACAGUGCAUUUGAUGACAUUUUACAGAUCAUCAUACUAAAUAAGUAAGAACCAUCCUCUCUGAUUUAGAAGAAAAACCUUUAUUUAUUUCAAUUUAUUUUGGGAGUUCAGAAGUAAUGACAAACUUGACAAUCUUCAUGACAAACAUGAUAAUCUUCACAUCACUUUAAGCUGUGUGACCAAAAAGCCAUUAGCUUCACAGAAACAGACAAUACAUUUCAUCCUGAAACAACACUUAUGAUCAACAUUUAUGCAAUCUAUAGGUACUUCCUAUAUUUGUAUCAAUGCAAGUAAGAAGACAUGGAGUAUCAAACCAGCAAGGGCUUAGAAAUAUCAAGCCCAAGAGUUUACCCAUUUACUUCAGUGGAAAAUAGUGCUAGUAAAUAUCAAUACAUAUUUUAAUCUUUUAUUUCAGUAAUUUCCAUGUAAAAGCAAACAUAUUCUGCCAACUUUAUUCAUUGUCUUUGAUCUUUUUUUGAAGCAUAUUAUGAUAGAUUUCUGAAUCUUUUAAUUCAAUGUUGAAGUAGAUAUUAAGUAUAUCACAACACCAAUCCACACUAAAUAGAACUUUUGUUUUUUGUUCUUUUGCUGAAAUGUCUGACAGUAUUUCAAGAAUAAUUUAAUUAUGAACUUUAUAUUAACAAAAGACAAGUGAUUUUUUAUUCCAUUCAGUGUGGAAUAAGAUACUACCUAUAUUUGUUAAGCCCUGUGUAUCAACCAGAAUUUGCAAAGGGAAGUUAUCAACUUCAGAUACUCAUUCUCCAUUUCCCAUAAAUAUGUUAAAAAUACAAAGUCAGCUCCUAAGUUUUUCAUCAAAUAAACUAGCUUAUUAAGAUUAAGUGGCCUGAAACCACCAUCUGUGAGUUCACAUUUAUAUCUAGAAAACCUGUAUAAUCAUGUGUAUUGAGAGUAAGGCUUAGUGUUGGAAGGCCCAACCUUGUAAACAAGCUUUGUUUACACAAGAAGACAAUAGGACUCUUCUUUUGUUUCAGAGUUUACAUGUUCAGAGGCUGAGAUCACUAUUUUUGAAAUGUGAUGAUGGGAAUACAAAGUAAUUACCUUUAUGAAGGUUUUACAAAGAAUCCUGUAAGUAAAGCCCAUGACAGAAAUAUAUAGUGUCUCCAAAGAAACAAUUAUGAUGUAUUGUGUUUGAAUAAUAACUCAGAAUGUUUUAUCAUCAUCUGUUUACAUAAUAAGUCAUAAUAACUUUUCAAAAUAUGGUGCUUGCAUUUUUAUUAUUGUUUUAAGUGUACAUAGGGGAAUUACUACAGCCUAGAAUCAUAAACUUUGUAAAACUUUGUUGAAGACUGCAUUUUUAUUCCCAUCCUCUUCUGCUCAAACAAAAAUGUAAAGGAAACAACACACAAAUAAAAGUACGCUAAAAUAAUCCCGUGUGUCUGGCUAAAAGAAAAGACAGGAAAUUCUUAAAAGUGUGGUUAUAAACUGAAAAAUGCCUUUAAACAUGGCUUCCUACUGUCUCACAUUUAUAUAUUCAUAAUUAUUUCACUAUCAAUAUUUUCUUUGCUUAUAUGUACACAAAUUACAUUAUUCAACAUGCCAAGACCACAUUCUCAGUCUGAUAUCUGGAAUACAAAGCCCUGUUGUCACUGGCUUCUACUACAGUGUUAAAGAUGGAACUGAGAGAAAUUCCUAGAUUCCCUCUCCUGGAAACUUUAUGAUUUAAGCCUACUUCUGACCUUUAGCAAUAUUUCCUUGAGGAGACUGAGGUCCAAAUUAAACUUUCAGGAAUUACAAGAGAAAUUUCAAUGAACUCUAGAGAUGCCAGAAAGACAAAUGACAAAAGUAGUUAAAGCAAAAGUGCUGAGCACGUCUUAAGUGCUUCAAUUAGAACUCUUGUUCCCCACAGGAUGUUCCAGAAAGGUGUAGAGGUGCUCACAGACCCUCACAAUGGUUUCAGACAUCUAGCCCACAAAGUAGAAUCCAAAGCCAAGAUUAGAGAGCUGUUACCUACAGAGAACAGAUGAUGUUAUGUGAGAGGACUAACAAAGUAGAAACAUUAUGGAGUUAUCUAGAAUCUAACUCAUAAUUUUGAAAGUCAGAUAAUGCCAACCUAUGUAGUUGAGGCACUCUGUCACAGUGGAAGACUGUGGUUAUUUCCAUCCACUCAGUGUCCACAGACCAUCAAGGUAAUUCAAUUUUUGUUUCAAAGGCUCCGUUUUUUUAAAAAAACAUAACCACUGUUGAAGAUGAGAUGUUAAUAAUGGAACAUAGGAUUAUUCUUAGUUCUACUAUUUACUGAAAAAUAGACAUACAAACUGUGUGGGGCAAAGACAAAGGCCAGAAUCCUGCUUGCUCCAUAAAAAUUGUUUCCUUCCUCAUUUAUCUCCUUGAAUCUUAAUGAGUUUUGCAGUUGUAGUGCACAUCUGUACAGCUAUGUAGACUAGCCUGGGACCCAGUGGGUAAGGUGUGCCUCCUCAGAAAUUAGAGUUUAAAAUACCUGAGGUCAAAGCAGAUGUAAAAAGUUGUCUCCUUCUGAAAGGUUUCCAGUUUUAUUGGCAUAUACUACGUUUGUCUGAGUGCACUUUCCAGGUCUGUGCUAUAAGCUAACACUACCAUUUAUCUUCUGGAUUCCCAGACUGUUUAAGUCAGACAGAGGUACAUGCCCGCUUCACCCUGAGCCCUUCUGCGAAUGGUCAGAAACAGAAUACUGUGUGAUCUCAAAAAGAUUCAGAGCAAACAUGGAAGACAGUUAUGUUUAAAUGACACUCUGGUUGGGCAGACACUGAACGCAGGGUUUUCAAGUCACAGUUUCAACAUAGACACCUUAAACCUUCCAGUAUUCUAUUUUAGGUUUGUUCUUCAUUCUUGCAUCACAGCAGGAGUUGUACCCUUUAUCAGUGUUGAUGUCUUCUUAAAAGAGGGUCUGUGACCGCAUUUGAAGUAUCUCUACUACCAGUUGUGGUGAUUUCACCCUGAUGUGCAGCUAAACUACUACAUCAUUCUCCUGUUACUCCUACUCAAAGGAAGAGGGGGAGAAAAUGAAAUGAAAAAAGGCUCAGGGUUUGAGAUUACCGUCACUGAUCAGUGAUUAUGAGAAUAAAUAAACAUAGUGUGGAAAAAUCUUUGUAUAGUCAUUAAAAUACCCAAGUGUGGCAUUCUAGUAGAGAUUUAAUAAGGAGAAGAAACUGACCCUCAGACUUAGGAAUUCAUUUUCUUUACUUUUCUACAAGGACAGACAUACAUCUCUCUAUCUAAUUUAUAUAUACAUACGUAUAUAUAAAGCAAAGCUUUUAAAGAAUUUUUAUUUAUCAUUGUAAAAUCUCUACUUAGAAUUGGAAAGAGAUAGAAAAAAAAAAAGUAGACUUUGAUUAUCACCUUGAUACAUCUAAGUGUUUACAGUGGGAGCUAAGCUGUAGCAUAGCAAUGUAAUAAAAAUAGAAAGUAAAGUGACGUAAAAAGUGCACUGAGGACUACCUUAUAACUAAUUCCAAACGUUCAAGAAUAGUAAAUGGUUAACAGUGAUGCAAAAGGAAAUUACAGAAAAAACAAUCAAAAAGGACUCCUAAACAAUGAAAGGAAACAAAAAAUUAAUAAAGCAGAAGACUGAAAAACAGAUAAGGAGAGCAAAACGGUGAAAGAUUUCACAGAAGAUUAUGAAAUUAGCACAAAAAAUUUUUAAACAAUCCUAAGAAUAAACUGUCAUUGAAGAACAGAAUAGGGAUUGUGGAGGAUCAUUUUUUAAGGGAUGAGGUAAAAAAAGAUGGAAAAUUUAAACAAAUUCUUCGCAUAGCUGUUCAGAAAGAAAUGUCAGCUCGCAGAGCUGUAGAAAUAUAGGUACAUAUUUUCUGGAGCAAAAGGAAGGAUAAAACACCUAAGUAAACACACACUGUAUGUGACAUAGUACAGAUGACAAUCUUAGCAUGUAUCACAUAAAAUAAUUUCUCAGUGCUAAAGCAUAUGCACUUCAGAAUUCACAGAAAGGGACAAAAAACAGCAUCACUCUUCACAAGACUAAUUUACAUCACUUCACCAUUCAGAUAACUUUUCCUUUUCAAAAUGUUGCUUUGAAGUCACAUGGGCUACUUACAUGACUGACAACUCUAGGACUGCAGUGAAAAAGAAGUUUCAGUGGAAUUAAAGAAAAAGUAAUGGGAAGUGUGCAGGAGGUAUCUGUGCAAAGAAGGGCCCCAUGCAACUCCUCUCACAGCUUGUCUCUAAAAACUCAAGAACUGGGUUUAAAUGAGAGAAACACCUUGUCUUUCUGGCAAGUUUUAGCAAUGCCUUCUAUGCAGGAAAGCAAUUUGCUUCAAGACCAAACAGAAAUGCACACUGGUUAAGAGUGAUAUAUUACAAAAACAACAGAGCAUAGCUAAAUUCAGCAAAUUAUGAAGCAAUGGCUAUUUCAGUGAGAGUCAGAGAUUCGUCUAAUGAGAUCCAGGAGUUUCAGCUCUGAACAAAAAGUGAUGAAUUCAAGCUUAAAUUCCUACAAGUAACCCCUAUUCUACAUUAAAGGUAACCAUCCAUCACAUUUUUAACUACAUCUACAAGGGAGUUCAGUAACUUCAGUCUAAAAAAUUCAAAACACAGACAUAUUUUCAGCCAAAACAAAGCCAGAGCCAGCAGUAAUUUUAAUUCUUUUCACUAAGUAUUGUUCUGGCCAUAAGACUAUGUGUAAAAUGGAUGUGGUUGAAGCCACAAUGGACUGUAAGGUUUAUAGGAUGAACAAGUUGCUAAGGAAGAGCUUGCAUGCCUAAAAACUUACAUUAUUCCAGCUGGAGUGCAUCCUGUAACAACAGUACUUCUUUAUUCUUCCAUAUCUUCCCUAAAAAGCUGAGCGCUCUGGCUGAAGACAGGCCAGGAGAGGCGCAUGGAUGUUUGCCUUCUUCAUGUUGCCUGAAAACCUAGUCCUUGUCUCAUCUGGGAACAGGACAGUCAUGCCAAGUGGAUGCAUCUCCCUGCAUCUGUGGAGAGACAGCAAAUGUGCUGUCUGGAAAGUAUCUGUGUUCUAGGAGGUGAGAAACUGGCUUGGGCUGUUUGAUUUCACUUCUACUCAGAGAAAUGGGGCAAUGAACUUUCUAAUAAACAGGUUUGGUUCACAGAGGGAUGACUCCACCAUCGAUCAUUCCACCAGAGGAAUAACUCAAGAUUCGAAAAUUUUAACCAGAUAAUUUUAUCAAAAGAAUAAUAAAAAAAAAAAAAAAAAAAAAAA